AUGAAAAAUGAAGACAAGUGGAUGCCUCCGCCUGAGGGCAUUUGGAAAAUGAACACAGACGCGUCGUUCGUACCACCCUCUGGGGAAGCUGCGGUAGGGCUUGUUGUCAGAGACCAUCGGGGACUGGUUGCUCUGAGUUGCGGACAGCAAUUAACAGGCUGCAGUGGACCGGAGGAAGCCGAAAUCAUGGCGGUACUGAUUGGGUUAAAUACUCUAAGCAAGUACUAUAACGGGCAGGUCUGGGUGGAAUCGGACUGCUCAUCUAUUAUCAAUCUGCUGAAUAAUAAAGCGAACAAUCAGUCUGCGUUCUUUCCAAUUGUUGCUGAUGUUCGGGAUAUGGAAAGGAAGUUCAGGCAGUUAAGUUUCAGUGCAGUCAAGAGAUCCAACAACAAAGUAGCUCAUGAAUUGGCGGCUCAAGCCAGAAGACAAGGAGAUUUCUGUCUCAUUAGCAAAGUCCCUGACAACCUAAGAAGUACCCUGAUGGGGGAUUGUAAUGAUGUUGGCUCCAUUACUUAA
rnacentral:rRNA from 1 species